rnacentral:rRNA from 1 species
CCUGGUGGUUAUGGCGGAAGUGCCCCACCCGAUCCCAUCCCGAACUCGGCCGUGAAAGCUUCCAGCGCUGAUGGUACUGCGUCUUAAGGCGUGGGAGAGUAGGUCACCGCCAGGU